CCAAUAGCGUAUAUUAAAGUUGCUGCAGUUAAAAAGCUCGUAGUUGAAUUUCGGGACCAUCAUGUCGGUCGUGCCUCGGUACGUACUGGUAUUGUUGGUUUCUCCCUUCUGACGAACCAUGAUGUCAUUUAUUUGGUGUUGUGGGGAAUCAGGACUGUUACUUUGAAAAAAUUAGAGUGUUUAAAGCAGGCUCACGCUUGAAUACAUUAGCAUGGAAUAAUGAAAUAGGACGUUUGAUUCUAUUUUGUUGGUUUCUAGGAUCGACGUAAUGAUUAAUAGGGAUAGUUGGGGGCAUUAGUAUUCAAUUGUCAGAGGUGAAAUUCUUGGAUUUAUUGAAGACUAACUACUGCGAAGGCAUUUGCCAAGGAUGUUUUCAUUAAUCAAGAACGAAAGUUAGGGGAUCGAAGACGAUCAGAUACCGUCGUAGUCUUAACCAUAAACUAUGCCGACUAGGGAUCGGAUGAUGUUAAUUUUUUAAUGACUCAUUCGGCGCCUUAC
rnacentral:rRNA from 1 species